rnacentral:rRNA from 1 species
UACGAAGGGGGCUAGCGUUGCUCGGAAUCACUGGGCGUAAAGGGUGCGUAGGCGGGUCUUUUAAGUCAGGGGUGAAAUCCUGGAGCUCAACUCCAGAACUGCCUUUGAUACUGGCAAUCUCGAGUCCGGGAGAGGUGAGUGGAACUGCGAGUGUAGAGGUGAAAUUCGUAGAUAUUCGCAAGAACACCAGUGGCGAAGGCGGCUCACUGGCCCGGUACUGACGCUGAGGUGCGAAAGCGUGGGGAGCAAACAGG